rnacentral:rRNA from 1 species
GACGAACGCUGGCGGCGUGCUUAACACAUGCAAGUCGAACGGAAAGGCCCUGCUUUUGUGGGGUGCUCGAGUGGCGAACGGGUGAGUAACACGUGAGUAACCUGCCCUUGACUUUGGGAUAACUUCAGGAAACUGGGGCUAAUACCGGAUAGGAGCUCCUGCUGCAUGGUGGGGGGUGGCAAGUUUCGGCGGUUGGGGAUGGACUCGCGGCUUAUCAGCUUGUUGGUGGGGUAGUGGCUUACCAAGGCUUUGACGGGUAGCCGGCCUGAGAGGGUGACCGGCCACAUUGGGACUGAGAUACGGCCCAGACUCCUACGGGAGGCAGCAGUGUGGAAUAUUGCACAAUGGGCGGAAGCCUGAUGCAGCAACGCCGCGUGCGGGAUGACGGCCUUCGGGUUGUAAACCGCUUUCGCCUGUGACGAAGCGUGAGUGACGGUAAUGGGUAAAGAAGCACCGGCUAACUACGUG